ensembl:lncRNA
CGGCCGGGGAGCGAGGAGCGGGGAUGCGGUGGUGCCGGGAGCGGGCGGCCGGGCGUCUGCGUCCUCGCUCGCCGCUGAUUUUAAGCUCUGGAAACCUUAGAAGAAGAGGUAACAUGGGCAUCUCUGCAUCAUACCUCCAAUGUUUAUCAGCCCUUUCUGAAUUGCACUGCUGCUCUCUUGAAGGCUUGACAGAAGCUACAUACUGUGUGCCUGAGGAAGGCUUGAACAUCACACCAAAACAAGAACAAUUUCCACUUUCUCACUGCCUGUCUUACAGCAAAGAAGGGAGAUCAAGACCAGUAACCAUACAGGACAAAAUCUGACUGCAUAAAUCCUAAGAUUGUUAACACAAGUCUCCGUCUCAAGUUUUUGAACAACUUGUUGGUUUUGGAUGUCCAUUUACCUAUCAUAGCAACAUUCACACAUUUCUGUCUUCUGUUAACAAGAACAUUUUGAAUAAGUCAAACAGAGCUAAGCCUGAUCACAUCUGUGCUGAUAUGACUUCCUACGCUGUUGAAACUUGAACUUCUUGAACACUGACGAUCACAAUAUGCAGCAAUAUUAUACCCAGCAAUAAAGAUCAGUGUAAGAUGAUCACCAGCACAACAUUCUGCAUGUUAUCCUCUUUCUUUAUGCAAUAAAGAGUAUCAUGGACAUUGUUCUGAUAAACAAAAUCUUUUCUACAACUGGAUUAUAUUG